CUAGGAAUAAUUACUCCUAUGUUACUUAAAGCCAAAUGAUCUGGAAUUUUAUACAAUUAAACCCCUUUCCAUUCCAAUUGACAAUGGACAAGUUUGGGUGGUAUAUUCAGGAAUGUGGGCGUAAGUCACACUUUAUUUGACGACGAAGGGAAUGUUAGUGCAUGCAAGGUAAAGUUAAAUGGUUCAACGCAGAAAAAGGUUAUGGCUUCAUCGAGACUGUUGAAGGUGGCGACGUAUUCGUACACUUCUCCGCAAUCCAAUCUGAAGGCUUCAAGACUUUGGAAGAAGGUCAAGACGUUGAAUUCGACAUCGUCGAAGGCGCUCGUGGACCGCAAGCAGCUAACGUAAUCAAAUUAUAAUCAUCCGGCAAGGCCGACCUACAUAUACGGUUCGAUGGUUAAGUAAUUGAAGAACGGUA
rnacentral:other from 1 species